rnacentral:rRNA from 1 species
AUUGAACGCUGGCGGAAUGCUUUACACAUGCAAGUCGAGCGGCAGCGCGGUCUUCGGACUGGCGGCGAGCGGCGAACGGGUGAGUAAUACAUCGGAACAUGCCCAGUCGUGGGGGCAUGAACACUUCGAAAGAAGUGCUAAUACCGCAUACGUCCUGAGGGAGAAAGCGGGGGCAUCGCAAGACCUCGCGCGAUUGGAGUGGCCGAUGUCAGAUUAGCUAGUUGGUGGGGUAAAGGCCUACCAAGGCAACGAUCUGUAGCUGGUCUGAGAGGGUGAUCAGCCACACUGGGACCUGAGACACGGCCCAGACUCCUACGGGAGGCAGCAGUGGGGUAAUUUUGGGCACAAUGGGAGCAACCCUGAUCCAGCAUUCCGCGC